rnacentral:rRNA from 1 species
ACUCCUGCGGGAGGCAGCAGGGGGGAAUAUUCCACAAGGGGGGAAACCAUGAAGCAACGACCGCCGCCAGGAAGAAGAAGUUUUCGGUAUGUAAAGCUCUAUCAGCAAGGAAGAUAAUGACG